rnacentral:lncRNA from 1 species
CUUUCUUCUCCUUGCACUCCCCCUCCUUAGUCUUCCCCAUCGCCUUUUGUCUGAGCUCAGGGCGGGUUCACCGGAGAAGCGAAGUCAGCCAAAGGCCUCCCUUAGCCCUGACCGGCCCUGCUUCCUCGGCACCCCUGCCUGGCUUGGGAGCAGCAGCAGGCGCUGGCGGGCCACCACGCAGGGCUGUGAGCGGUUCUCGUCCCGCCCGGCCCAACCCACGGCUCCCUUAGUACCCUCCUCCAGGCCUGUGACGCCACCUGUCCUGUGUGGCGCUGGCCUGAAGUCGCUAGGGCGUGCCCUCCACCUUUCCUGUCCCCAUCCCCGUGAGGAGCUGAUUUCUGUGGCUCAGGCCAGGGUGUGGCGUGUGGGAAGCGUUGCUGCAGGCUUGUUGGAGAAAGCUCUGGGCUCAUCCCAGCCAGUGCAGCGCAGUUGAUGAGGGGUCUGCGGCUGUGCAAUCGGAGGCAGAGCGCACGCCUGCGCACUGCUGCACAGCGCGACUCUGCGGCGACAGACAGGGCCCUCUCUCCUCUGCCCCCUGCGCACCUGCUGGCCGCGCACGACUACGCAGCCCUUCAAAUAUGUCUGGUUUUACGGGGCCAUGGACAAAACUUCCUUGUUGGUAAUCAGCUGAGCCUGGCCGACGUGAUUCUACUCCAAACCAUUUGGCCCUGGAAGAGAAAAUUCCUAACAGCCUAG